GAUGAAGAACGUAGCGAAAUGCGAUACGUAAUGUGAAUUGCAGAAUUCAGUGAAUCAUCGAAUCUUUGAACGCAUAUUGCGCUCUCUGGUAUUCCGGAGAGCAUGCUUGUUUGAGUAUCAGUAAACACCUCAACUCCCCUUUCUUUUUUUGAAAUGGGAGCUGGACUUGAGUGAUCCCAACGCUUUUCUCACCGAAAAGUGGCGGGUUACUUUAAAUGCAGGUGCAGCUGGACUUUUCUCUGAGCUAAAAGCAUAUCUAUUUAGUCUGCCUAAAAAACAGAUUAUUACCUUUGCUGCAGCUAACAUAAAGGAGAUUAGUUCUUGUGCUGACUGAUGCAGGAUUCACAGAGACAGCUUCGGCUGGCCUUUGUAAACUCGAUCUCAAAUCAAGUAAGACUACCCGCUGAACUUAAGCAUAUCAAUAAGCGGAGGA
rnacentral:misc_RNA from 1 species